ensembl:lncRNA
AUGCUGUGGGGAAAGGGGAUGGAGGAGCUCAACAGAGCGGGAUUUUUUGGGGAUGUUGGAUGGGAUGUGGGGGAUCUGAACGCUGGAGGCUGGAGGAACAGAGGAGGGAUGUGCCGGGCCAUGCCAUGCUGUGCCAUCCCGACAGGGCUCGGUGCAGCCGCGGAUAGGGAUGUGGGGAUGUGGGGACGUGUUUUGCCGCUCUCUGGCAGCCGCAUGGAUGGAGUUGCCAGGCAACUGCCGGGUGGAGGCGAAGCGGGAACAAAGCGGGAGCUGCCGGGACCCUCGUUCCUCCAUCCCUCCCCGAACCCCCCGGGCAGUGCGGCCCAGCAAAGGCCAAGGGGUCACCUGCUGUGUCCCCCCGGCCGCUGCCGCCAUCCCACCCCGGGGUUGCCGCAGGGCCAUGGGUUUGCAGGGGGAUGGACUCGGGAGAACGGGACUAGGAGGACACAGGGUCUGUCCCACUGUUGUUUUCACCCGCUGACGUGUCCAGAGGGUGCAAGGUGGGGCUGGGGGCAGUGGGCAUGGGCAGGAUGGGUGCUCAGCAUCCCGCGGGUGCGGGGCAGGAGGAUCAGCCCCAGGCAAGCGCCACAUCUUGCCCUGCCCUGCCCUGCCCCAGAACCUGCCCCGGAACCUGCCCCGGCACCUACCCCGGCACGCCGGGGCCCGUUGCGGCCUGGCAGGCGGCAGAGGGGGGGUCUGGCAGCCACCCCGACCUGCCCGCCCUGCCCGCGGGGGCACCCAGCCCCAGGGAUGCCAGGGUGGGGGGUCUCGCACCCACCCCCGGCCCUUUCCCACACUGCGGCAGGUGCAGAGAGCUGGGCUGGGGGUCCGGGGGUGGGUCACCCCAUAGCUGGGAAUGUGCCCCUCCGUGCAGGGGACACUGGGGAGCGGCAGCACUGGGUAGGGGGAGGGGGGGGCGCGGUGCCAUGUGCCCCUGGGCUGGCGUGGGGGAGCUGUAUGGGUGUGCGAGGGGGACCAGGCACGGGGGUGUGCCGGGCGUGUGAGGCAGCACAUGGCAGGGGGCUGUGGGGCUGCGCCCCCCGGCCGCGGUGUGUGACAGCAGGGGGUGACAGACUCUGGGCUGGGUGUCUCCCCAGGCUGUACGGUGUGGUGGGGAGGUCGCGCGUGGCGGUACCCCGGGGAUGCGAGGGGGGAAUGCGGGGAGAUGGAUGCGGGGCCGGUAAUGCAUCACCUGUGCGGGGCUGCGGGGAAGCGGGCGGUGACCGUGUCCUGGGUGCGAGCCGCUGUCACCGCAGCCCCGGGGCGGGUUCGGUACCGAGUGCGGUGGUGCGGCGAGGGGGCGGGCAGGUGCCGUUGGCGGGGCCGGGGGCGGCGGCGGUGCGGGGAAAGGGGCGGGCAGGUGCCGGGGGCGGCGGCGGCGGGGCCGUAACGGGGCGGGGCGGUGCUGGCGGCGGGGCCGCGGCGGGGCCGGUGCGGGGCGGGCGCAACGCGCAGCCGGUGCGGGGCGGGCGGGGAGCGGCGCCGCGGCCCGAGCCCGAGCGGAGCCGAACGGAGCCGCCGCCGCCGCCGAUGGGCCCCUGA